rnacentral:rRNA from 1 species
AAUAUUGGACAAUGGGCGCAAGCCUGAUCCAGCCAUGCCGCGUGAGUGAUGACGGCCUUAGGGUUGUAAAGCUCUUUCGCACGCGACGAUAAUGACGGUAGCGUGAGAAGAAGCCCCGGCUAACUUCGUGCCAGCAGCCGCGGUAAUACGAAGGGGGCUAGCGUUGUUCGGAAUCACUGGGCGUAAAGCGCACGUAGGCGGAUUGUUAAGUCGGGGGUGAAAUCCUGAGGCUCAACCUCAGAACUGCCUUCGAUACUGGCGAUCUUGAGUCCGGAAGAGGUUGGUGGAACAGCUAGUGUAGAGGUGAAAUUCGUAGAUAUUAGCUAGAACACCAGUGGCGAAGGCGGCCAACUGGUCCGGAACUGACGCUGAGGUGCGAAAGCGUGGGGAGCAAAC